CUAGCCAUGGCGUAGUGGUUAACGCGCCCCAACUAGAGAUCGGGGAGUCGUGAGUUCGAUUCUCACUGAGAAGA
rnacentral:tRNA from 1 species